AUCGCGAGCAGACCGAAGAAGAUCAGGAACUGCGACCACUGGACGGGGUCGCGGAAGAACCCCUUCAGGUCCUUGGCGACGAUCAGCCUCACGUUGC
rnacentral:misc_RNA from 1 species